AUUGAACGCUGGCGGCAUGCCUUACACAUGCAAGUCGAACGUGAAAGCGGGGCAACCCGCAAGUAGAGUGGCGGACGGGUGAGUAAUACAUCGGAACGUGUCCAGUAAUGGGGGAUAACCUAGCGAAAGUUAGGCUAAUACCGCAUACGAUCUGCGGAUGAAAGCGGGGGAUGCGGCACUAAAGGCUUUUGGCGAAGGUGGCCAAAGGUGAGUCAAGGGUCUUUUAGUGCNGCACCUCGCGUUAUUGGAGCGGCUGAUGUCUGAUUAGCUAGUUGGUGAGGUAAAGGCUUACCAAGGCGACGAUCAGUAGCUGGUCUGAGAGGACGGCCAGCCACACUGGGACUGAGACACGGCCCAGACUCCUAC
rnacentral:rRNA from 1 species